GUAGUUGUAAACAGGUUCACUUGUCGCACAGGGAUAGGACACCAUGCGUCAGAGAGACGAGCCUCUCCUCUCUUCUCCCUCGCACAGAAACGCCUACCCAUGCAAACUUCUAUCGUUCACGCUGCUCUCUUUAGCCACCGUGCUCUGCCUCUGCGCGGGCGCCGCCUUCCUCCUACUCUCCCCGACGGCCACGAACCUCUGCGCGAGCUCCCCUGACCCGGCCUCGUGCCAAGCCAUCGUCGCCGACGCCGUCCUAGCGUCCCCGCACUCCCACCCGAGCCGCCCGGCGCACGUCCUCCGCGCCAUCCUUGCCACGUCUCUCGAUCGGCAUGACGCGGCCGCGG
rnacentral:lncRNA from 1 species